CUCUUUCUCUCUCUCUGUGGCAGAGCUGAGAAAGAGGCAGGCAGGCACAGCCCUCUGAGCACAGUCAGUGGAUCGCCUAAGAGCUCACUAUUGAUCCGGGAGGGAGGGACAGUCAGUCAGAAACAUACAGACAGACUUGUUCUACUAAAGAGCUCCAACUCAUUACCUCAGCACCCCCACUAUACAGCCACAUCAGUAGCAUCACCUCUAUUUGUUGCUGUUUCAUGAGCACAAGGAUUUUACGAAUGGGGUUACUAUCCCCAUGCCCAACCCUUCACCAUUACUGCUUUCUGGGGGUGCCGUUCAGGAAUUGAACCCUGUGUCGCAAGAGUAAGCAGUGACUAUUACAUCACUGCUAUAAUAUAAUGCAACAUGUCACUGCACAUUGACAACACACAGAGGUAUUAACACUAAAUCCCAGAGGUAUUAACACUAAAUCCCAGAGGUAUUAACACUAAAGCCCAGAGGUAUUAACACUAAAGCCCAGAGGUAAUAACACUAAAGCCCAGAGGUAUUAACACUAAAGCCCAGAGGUAUUAACACUAAAGCCCAGAGGUAUUAACACUAAAGCCCAGAGGUAUUAACACUAAAUCCAAGAGGUAUUAACACUAAAGCCCAGAGGUAUUAACACUAAAUCCAAGAGGUAAUAACACUACAGUAAAGCUCAGAGGUAUUAACUCUAAAGCCCAGAGAUAAUAACACUAAAUCCAAGAGGUAAUAACACUACAGUAAAGCUCAGAGGUAUUAACUCUAAAGCCCAGAGAUAAUAACACUAAAUCCAAGAGGUAAUAACACUACAGUAAAGCCCAGAGGUAUUAACACUAAAGCCCAGAGGUAAUAACACUAAAUCCAAGAGGUAAUAACACUACAGUAAAGCCCAGAGGUAUUAACACUAAGGUAAAGCCCAGGAGGUGGUGUGCUGUCUACAGCAGCAAGAAAAUGACAUGUGCCUAAUGGUGUGUCGAUUCCUCAGCCAGUUCCAGUGAUUGUAG
rnacentral:lncRNA from 1 species